GAUGAACGCUAGCGGCGUGCCUAAUGCAUGCAAGUCGAACGGGACCCUUUGGAUUCGUCUGAAGGUGAGAGUGGCGAACGGGUGAGUAUCGCGUUGGUGACCUGCCCCAGAGAGAGGGACAACCAGUGGAAACGCUGGCUAAUACCUCGGAUGUCUUUGUGUUUAGAAAGCAAUGACUAAAGCUCCGGCGCUCUGGGAGGGGCCUGCGUCCCAUCAGCUUGUUGGUAAGGUAAUGGCUUACCAAGGCUAAGACGGGUAGGGGGCGUGAGAGCGUGGCCCCCCACACUGGUACUGAAACACGGACCAGAUACCUACGGGUAGCAGCAGCAAGGAAUAUUGCCCAAUGGACGAAAGUCUGAGGCAGCAACGCCGCGUGGAGGAUGAAGGCUUUCGGGCUGUAACUCC
rnacentral:rRNA from 1 species